rnacentral:rRNA from 1 species
AAUGAACGUUGGCGGCGUGGAUUAGGCAUGCAAGUCGAGCGAGAACCCGCAAGGGGGACAGCGGCGAACGGGGUAGGAAUACGUAGGUAACGUACCCUCGGGGCGAGGACAGCCACGGGAAACUGUGGGUAAUACUCGAUAAACUUCCCAAUCAUUAUGGAAGGGGAAGCAAUGGGUGUGAUUCCACCUGAGGAGCGGCUUACGCAGUAUCAGCUAGUUGGUGAGGUAACGGCUCACCAAGGCUACGACGCUUAGGGGGUGUGAGAGCAUGGCCCCCACCACUGGCACUGGGACACUGGCCAGACACCUACGGGUGGCUGCAGUCGAGAAUCUUCGGCAAUGGACGCAAGUCUGACCGAGCGACGCCGCGUGUGGGAUGAAGGCCUUCGGGUUGUAAACCACUGUCAGAGGGGAUGAAGUGUACGAGAGUUAUCUCUUGUAUUUGACAGAGCCUCAGAGGAAGCACGGGCUAAGUUCGUGCCAGCAGCCGCGGUAAU